AACGAACGCUGGCGGCAGGCUUAACACAUGCAAGUCGAACGCCCCGCAAGGGGAGUGGCAGACGGGUGAGUAACGCGUGGGAAUCUACCCAGAUCUUCGGAACAACUGAGGGAAACUUCAGCUAAUACCGGAUACGCCCUACGGGGAAAGAUUUAUCGGUUCUGGAUGAGCCCGCGUUGGAUUAGCUAGUUGGUGAGGUAACGGCUCACCAAGGCGACGAUCCAUAGCUGGUCUGAGAGGAUGAUCAGCCACACUGGGACUGAGACACGGCCCAGACUCCUACGGGAGGCAGCAGUGGGGAAUAUUGGGCAAUGGGCGGAAGCCUGACCCAGCAACGCCGCGUGGAGGAAGACGGCCUUCGGGUUGUAAACUCCUUUUACGGGGGAAGAGGAAGGACGAUACCCCGAGAAUAAGUCACGGCUAACUACGUGCCAGCCGCCGCUGUAAAAC
rnacentral:rRNA from 1 species